GGCUCUAUAGUGUAGUGGUUAUCACUCGAGAUUCUGACUCGUCGAUUUCUCGUGACCCAGGUUCGAUCCCUGGUAGGGCCU